rnacentral:rRNA from 1 species
CCCUUAGAUGUUCUGGGCCGCACGCGCGCUACACUGAUGCAUUCAACGAGCCUAUCCUUGACCGACAGGUCCGGGUAAUCUUUGAAUCUGCAUCGUGACGGGGAUAGAUUAUUGCAAUUAUUAAUCUUCAACGAGGAAUGCCUAGUAGGCGCAAGUCAUCAGCUUGCGUCGAUUACGUCCCUGCCCUUUGUACACACCGCCCGUCGCUCCUAUCGAUUGGGUGUGCUGGUGAAAUGUUCGGAUCGGCCGUUUGUCGCGGUUUCCGCGUCAUGUGGCUGAGAAGUUCAUUAAACCCUCCCACCUAGAGGAAGGAGAAGUCGUAACA